CCUACGGGUGGCUGCAGUGGGGAAUAUUGCACAAUGGGCGAAAGCCUGAUGCAGCCAUGCCACGUGUGUGAAGAAGGCCUUCGGGUUGUAAAGCACUUUCAGCGAGGAGGAAGCGAUAAAUGCGAAUACCAUUUAUUUUUGACGUUACUCGCAGAAGAAGCACCGGCUAACUCCGUGCCAGCAGCCGCGGUAAUACGGAGGGUGCGAGCGUUAAUCGGAAUAACUGGGCGUAAAGGGCAUGUAGGCGGUGAGUUAAGUCAGAUGUGAAAUCCCCGAGCUCAACUUGGGAAUGGCAUUUGAAACUGGGUCGCUAGAGUUUUCUAGAGGGGGGUAGAAUUCCAGGUGUAGCGGUGAAAUGCGUAGAUAUCUGGAGGAAUACCGGUGGCGAAGGCGGCCCCCUGGAGAAAGACUGACGCUGAGGUGCGAAAGCGUGGGGAGCAAACAGGAUUAGAUACCCCGGUAGUC
rnacentral:rRNA from 1 species